rnacentral:rRNA from 1 species
CCUACGGGAGGCAGCAGUGAGGAAUAUUGGUCAAUGGACGAGAGUCUGAACCAGCCAAGUAGCGUGAAGGAUGACUGCCCUAUGGGUUGUAAACUUCUUUUAUAUGGGAAUAAAAUGUUCCACGUGUGGGAUUUUGUAUGUACCAUAUGAAUAAGGAUCGGCUAACUCCGUGCCAGCAGCCGCGGUAAUACGGAGGAUCCGAGCGUUAUCCGGAUUUAUUGGGUUUAAAGGGAGCGUGGGUGGAUUGUUAAGUCAGUUGUGAAAGUUUGCGGCUCAACCGUACAAUUGCAGUUGAAACUGGCAGUCUUGAGUACAGUAGCGGUGGGCGGAAUUCGUGGUGUAGCGGUGAAAUGCUUAGAUAUCACGAAGAACUCCGAUUGCGAAGGCAGUUCACUGGACUGCAACUGACACUGAGGCUCGAAAGUGUGGGUAUCAAACAGGAUUAGAUACCCCUGUAGUC